UACGUAGGGUGCAAGCGUUGUCCGGAAUUAUUGGGCGUAAAGAGCUCGUAGGCGGCUUGUCGCGUCGGCUGUGAAAACCUGGGGCUCAACCCCGGGCCUGCAGUGGGUACGGGCAGACUAGAGUGCGGUAGGGGAGACUGGAAUUCCAGGUGUAGCGGUGAAAUGCGUAGAUAUCUGGAGGAACACCGGUGGCGAAGGCGGCAUCCUGGACCGGCAUUGACGCUGAGGCGCGAAAGCCAGGGGAGCAAACGGG
rnacentral:rRNA from 1 species